rnacentral:rRNA from 1 species
AAUCAACGCUGGCGGCGUGCCUAACACAUGCAAGUCGAACGAGAAAGUGGAGCAAUCCAUGAGUAAAGUGGCGACCGGGUGAGUAACACGUGACUAACCUACCUUCAAGUGGGGGAUAACCUCGGGAAACCGGGGCUAAUACCGCAUAAAAUCUUUGGGAUGAGAAGCCGAAGAUCAAAGGAGCAAUUCGCUGGAAGAGGGGGUCGCGGCUGAUUAGCUAGUUGGUGGGGUAAUGGCCCACCAAGGCUUUGAUCGGUAGCCGGCCUGAGAGGGCGCACGGCCACACUGGAACUGAAACACGGUCCAGACUCCUACGGGAGGCAGCAGUGGGGAAUUUUGCGCAAUGGGGGAAACCCUGACGCAGCAACGCCGCGUGGAGGAUGAAGUCCCUUGGGACGUAAACUCCUUUCGACCGGGACGAUAAUGACGGUACCGGUGGAAGAAGCCCCGCUAACUUCGUGCCAGCAGCCGCCGUAAU